rnacentral:lncRNA from 1 species
GGGUUUAAUGCUUGUUUGAAUUAUUUGUAUUCGCAGCGAGAGUUGGGAUCUUAGAGUUUAAGCAUUAGAACAUCAGUACAGUGAGAGCUGAUUGAUCACUACAUGAGUCUGAAUUCGAGAACGGUUUUAUGAAUUUUUCCUUGUCAAUCUAUGAGUUUACAUUUCUACCUGCGAUUUUCCCUAAGUUUAGCUUCCAUCAUCCUGAUAACUACAAUCAAUUUAACUCUCAUUCCUGCUUACUGUUUUAAUCAUUACUAUCUAGCAUAACUGAGACAACUAAAAUCUAUUGUGAAAUCAUAGAGUCCUUGUGGAUUCGAUCCCAAGUCCUGCAAUCAAUCUCUUAUUUGAGAGAGUUUCUCUAUGGUAAUUUGAGCAUAUCACAAUGUAAAAUUCUAAAUCAAGGAUGGAUCUGCCUACUUUGUGCAGAAGGAAAUAGUUACAUAUUAAAGCAAAU